rnacentral:lncRNA from 1 species
UGCUAAUGCAAGUUCACAAAUUCCACUUAGACUCACUUCCUUGUAGAGAUGUGUCCUCUUUUCAAGUGAAGCGCUGCCUUUUUUACCUUGCUUGCUUCAAAUUUACCAUUGGGAUUAAUCUGGUUAUUUACUCUUGAUAAUGGAAAUAAGUCAGAGGGGAAAUGUUUUUCACACUGAGCAGGCGCCAUGUUCUUCUGGUAUGAGCAUUCUUUUCCUUUGUUUUUGAAACAAUCUUUUGAUUUCUUAGGCUUUCCUUCCACGACACUUAGGAGGAAAGGAAACUGCUGUUGAAUAUAAGAUGCCUGGGAUUUCUGUUUUAUAUUAUACUUUUGAAAUAUUUGAACUCUGCUUCAGGACGGAACAAAUUAGAGUUGAAACUGCAGGGUGGAAUGUGGACUUCAUCCCAUAGUCUUACACUGAAGAAAAAAGAGCUACAAAGAAUAAUGAUCCAUGGAUUCUAGAGAGAGACAUGGGCACGUGCAAUUGUCCAGCUGCUGUGAGUCAGCUUGGUGUGGUGGAAGCUUAUGAUGUGAGAUGUGUGGUGGUUACCAUAGCAUACAGCAAACGAAGGUGUGCAAGCAUGAGGGAGCUAACACGUCCCCUAACAGCAGGAUGAAUAAUGAUGUAGUUGCUAAAGAAGAAAAUGGAUGUGGAUGUCUCAGUGUCCACAGAGCAGAAUACACGAUGGCUUUGCCUACUUGAGAAAUUACUAUCUUGGGCUGGCAAGACUUCUGUGAGGAAGGAGUGAUAGCUUAUACCAGUGAUAUUUAAGAGGCAUUUUGGGAGCGCUCUGGGGCCACCUCAGCAGUGUGGAGUAGUACAUUUCCUAGGGCCCCAUUAAACAAGACAUACAGAGACACAGCAUUUGAGGUAAGCUUCAGUCUACAUGUGUUUGCAUUUCCAAAAGUGAUACUGUAUACCUGUGAUGAGAAAAUGCAGACGAUGAUUUAGGUAUCUGCAUGUUGUGAUAGUUUAGCGUAUUCCAAGAGAGGCAAUACAAUAUUACAAUUAAAAUGUAUAUACUACAUCUAUUGCAUUUCUGAUUCUGUUGCAUCUGACUCAACCUUGCCUUGGUAGUUAGUAAAAAUCUCUAAAAACCCCAAAUUGACCUGAUGCUAGUGUAAACUAUGAAAGUAAUAUUGACCCAGUUCCUUCACCAGCCUCAAAGCAAAUAAUCCCAGCAUAGGAUUCUUUCUCCAGAGGAGAAUAAUCAGUGUAUUGGUGAAAUAUGGGAACUGAAUGUACCAGGUAGUACUGAUGAGCCUCCUCCUUCACCAUCAUUGCACCAAAGAAGAAUGGUGAAUUUUCAAGUUCAUAGUAUUGCUUUCCUUCUCUUGCUCCAACACUUUACUAACUUUUGAGGUGGCAGAAGAUGUGACUUAAUAAAUAUUGGUGUGGGUAUGAUGCUAAGGUAGGA